UUCAUUUUAUUGUUGUUUAUUUAAAUUAUUUGUAUUAUAUUUAUUAUAAAUAAAUAAUAGUCUAUUUUAUAAAUAGUCUAUUUUAUAAUUUUUUAUUCAUAUUUAUUUUUCAUUAUAUUUUAAACAAAGACAAACAAACAAACAAACAAACAAACAAGUACAUAAUAUUUAAAAUAAAAUUCUUAACAUGGUUGUGACAUUUUCAUGCCAGUUAAGCACAUUUUAUCCCAAAUUUUUAUUGCUGUAAUCAAGGGCUCAAGUUAUCAAAGCUCUGCUAAUUAAUUCUUUAAUUUGAUUUCAGAGUAAAAUACAAGCCAGACAGGUUUCAUGAGAUUCACCUUUGGAUUUAUCUUAUAUGCAAAAAACCCUGAAGGGUUAGUGUUCAAACACAUUCAACUUGGGACUUGAGGAAGACAACCACCGUCACCCAAAACAGGGACCCUUGACAGAUAAACAGAGUUAUUUGAUGAAAUAAAGGCUCCUCCUCUAUAUUAUAAACACUGUUCAGUCUGCAGAAGUGUUAACGUGCAUCGACGUCUUUUGAACCAGCAGACGUGAUGCUUUUCCUGCGUACAGAAACCCUGUUUUACUGACACAGGAAGCUCUAGCUAACACUACACACUUAAAACUGCUCUCAAGGGUGAGACGAUCUCACCACCCACGACGAGAGCGAGCAUCAGGAGAGAUAGAGAGAAGGUGAAAGAGAAAGACUGAGACGGGAAAGAAUCGCAAAAAGAGAGACAAAACGUUAUUCUGCAGUAAACUGAUUCUGUGGUAAUGUGGGCCUUGCCACUUCAUGCUCACUACUGCGCAGACUCGGGCUCCAAGAUGUCAGCGCCAUAUUUGGACAUUGGCGGCUUCACUUAUCUACAAUGGAAGAGAAUGAAGGGCUUGCUAAGUAAGGAUGGUCUGCAGUGUGAGAGCGUUUUGGGCCAGUUGGGAGAAAAGUCACUCGUCCUUUUAGGCAGAGGCCUACUUUCAGACAUUGCUCUAGCAGAGGCAGGUGGAGGGGCUACGGCUCUCGGGGACAGAUACAUUUCACCGUCUUGACGGUGGACGGGCGGCAUCGUGACACGUUUCUACCCACGAAUAUGGCUGAUGAGCUCAUGGAUUCCAGUAGUCUCAUCAUUCGCCAGCUCUUGUGUUUCCUCCCUCGGUAAGCAUCUCUCGUCCUCUUUCUGUUUCUCGCCGUAUCUCUCACUCCCACAUGCUUUCCCACACAGUCAAAUUGAUUAAAGCUUUUCUCCUGAGGGCGACUGCAGUGUGUGUGUGUGUGUCGUUGUGUGUGUCUGCAAGAAGAUCUGAAAACAGGAAUAGAUGGAAUGGGGGAAAAAAAAAUGAAGCCGGCGGGAAAACUGGAGGAAAGGGACCUGCAGAAGUAGACGCACAGAGAGCCGCCCACGCCUGCCGCCUUAACGAGACACUGCCUCGAACAUUUAAAAAACAAAUUUAUCACUUGCAUGAUGUGGGCAAACUAUUACACAUAUAUUAUACUCGAAUGUGUACAAAGUACAUACGUGAGGAUAUAAAACGAGACUGAAAGAGAAAAACAGAAAUGUGGAUGGAGAGGAAAUGGUCGUGGGAAGGGUCUGGACUGGAUGACAGAGAAAAUGGAGACGA